UAUCUACGGUUCUAUAAAAGCGAAAGCAGAUUAUUUUUGAUCCUUCACUGUGCGAAGUCUGCAAACAUAACAUUUACUACAGAACUAUUUUUAUUCAUCAAAUAAGAGAAGAGCUGAGAGCAAAUGAAGGGGCUUCACUUAAAAAUGUGAAAAGUGUUGUUCCUGAGACGUCAGAUUCUACAUUAAACUCAAAUUCAUCAGUCAACUGGACCUUCAAACCCAGAAACGAAAAUAAAUCAAUUAAUGCAUUGAAAUUAAUCAAAAAUUAUUUAAGGUCGACAAUGAGUACUCCAAGACUAACAAAUUUGGCUAUCUUGUCUAUUGAUUAAGAGGUGUGUGAUGCUAUAGACAUUGAUGGUGCAAUAAAAGACUUUGCUCUUGAAAAGUUGAUGUUUAAAUGUUCAAUCAAAGCCGAAGGUUUUGUUUUCAACUCAACAAAUACCUACCUAUAUUAUUCUUCAAAAAGAUACAAAUAUUACUUAAUAGUAUCAUCCUAGUUCUAAUUAAAAAGUGAUUAUCGAAUAAAUAAUACCUAUGUACCUGUUAUAUCAAUGGUUGUAGUAAGAAUGUUGUAUUGAUGAACGUGAUUGUGAAACAAAUAUAUUAUUUUAUUUGGAA